rnacentral:ncRNA from 1 species
UAGUCUGAAACCGCAGCUGGUUCGUCCUGCCCGCCAGGCAGGCACGUCGCAAGAGGGAACCCGGUGGAAUUCCGGGACUGCCCCGCAGCGGUGAGUGGGAACGAACGCCGUCAUACGCACUGGGCCCGAGCGGGCCCGGGAAGCGACGGCCAGUAGGCGUCCGCCUUCGAAGCGGACGUGCCCGCGAGUCCGAAGACCUGCCCGUUGCCCGCAUGUGAC